rnacentral:rRNA from 1 species
GUAGGGAAUAUUGCGCAAUGGGGGAAACCCUGACGCAGCAAUGCCGCAUGAGUGAGGAAGGCUUUCGGGUUGUAAAACUCUGUCAGAGGGGAAAAAUGGCAUAGGAUCUAAUCACCUUAUGUUUGAUGGUACCCUAAAAGGAAGCACCGGCUAACUUCGUGCCAGCAGCCGCGGUAAUACGAAGGGUGCAAGCGUUGUUCGGAUUUAUUGGGCGUAAAGCGCGCGCAGGCGGAUUUGUAAGUCAAGUGUGAAAUCUCGGGGCUCAACCUCGAAACUGCGCCUGAAACUGCAAAUCUAGAAUCUCGGAGGGGAAUGGGGAAUUUCGCAUGUAGGGGUAAAAUCCGUAGAGAUGCGAAGGAACACCAGAGGCGAAGGCGCCAUUCUGGACGAGUAUUGACGCUGAGGCGCGAAAGCGUGGGGAGCAAACAGG